rnacentral:rRNA from 1 species
AGGAGGCAGCAGUAAGGAAUUUUGGACAAUGGGGGCAACCCUGAUCCAGCCAUGCCGCGUGAGUGAAGAAGGCCUUCGGGUUGUAAAGCUCUUUCGGACAGAAAGAAAUCGCCAUUCCUAAUACGAGUGGUGGAUGACGGUACUGUAAGAAGAAGCACCGGCUAACUACGUGCCAGCAGCCGCGGUAAUACGUAGGGUGCGAGCGUUAAUCGGAAUUACUGGGCGUAAAGCGUGCGCAGGCGGUUUUGUAAGACAGGUGUGAAAUCCCCGGGCUUAACCUGGGAACUGCAUUUGUGACUGCAAGGCUAGAGUGUAGCAGAGGGGGGUAGAAUUCCACGUGUAGCAGUGAAAUGCGUAGAUAUGUGGAGGAAUACCGAUGGCGAAGGCAGCCCCCUGGGUUAACACUGACGCUCAUGCACGAAAGCGUGGGGAGCAAACAGGAUUAGAUACCCGGGUAGUCC